CCAGGCUCCAGCUAUCCUCCCACCUCAACCUCCAGAGUAGUUGAGACCACAGGCGUGCACUACCACGCCCGGCUACCUUUUUGUAUUUUCAGUAGAGACGAGGUUUCGCCGUGUUGCCCAGGCUGGUUCAAGCGGAGCUCAAGCAAUCAGCCUGCCUCGGCCUCCCAAAGUGUUGGGAUUACAGGCAUGAGCCGCUGCGCCCAACCUUCUUCUGCUGUCGAGAUACUGCUCAUCACCUGCCUGCUCCAGAAUUCAUGUGGCUUCUCAUUGCUCAAUGGAUUAAGUUCAUGUUUAUCCUGGCUUUCAAGUCUUUCCGAAGUGCUGAAUGAAAGAACUUGUAAGGCAUUUCGGGAAUGCCAAGGAGGGAAUGGACGAGUGUUUCCUGGGCUGGAAAACCUUUACAGAGAAAUGGAUCU
rnacentral:lncRNA from 10 species